ACAUGCCUACAACAUAGCAUUAAUGCACUAGAUCCCAUUAGAACUCCGCAAUUAAGCGCACUCAUGCUAGAUUAGUACUGAGAUGGGUGAUCGCCUAGGAAUUCUUAGUGUUUUACAUGCC
rnacentral:rRNA from 1 species